GGUCUAUGGAGUGACUUUAAAAGGAGUCACAUGAUAGUAUAGUAUAGGAGAGAAUACAAAAGGCUUCGUGCACUGCGUAUUAGUCAAUUUCUAUUGCAACUCCUCAAAUUUCUGUGUUACUUUUAAUCUUCUGAAUGUUCGUUCUCAUCGAUCCUACACUCUCUACUCUCUUGCCUUUUGGCUGAUUUAGCUUUGUUGGUUGGAGGCGUUGAAGCUGCCAGCAUGAUCUGGUCAUCGAAACGCGGUCGAAGCUCCGUUUCCUAGAAACUGCUUUAAAAAAAAUGAUUCUUAUAUAUAUUUCAUAUUUUCUUUUAUAUAUAUAUAGAGAAAGAUCUAUAGAGAGAGAGAGAGAGAGAGAGAGAGUUUUCAGGGCUGUGAAAUAUUGGUGAAUGAACUUAAAAUGAUCUCUGCAAGUUUUAGUCUCUGUAGCUAUCAUGCAAAAAACCACACUAGAGAGAGAGAGAGAGAGAGAGAGAGAGAGAGAGAGAGAGAGAGAGAGAGAGAGAGAGAGAUGGAUGAGCUUGUUUUGGCAUGACAAAAUUGUGAGGUUACAUGACCAUCAAAUCAUAUUGAGGCCAACAAAGUUAGCUAGGGUUGCUACAUAGAAAGGCAUAAAGCAUGUCAAUAGCUAUAUAUUUACAUAUAUAAUAUAUAUAUAUAUAUAGAGAGAGAGAGAGAGAGAGAGUCUUAGAGAGAGAGAGAGAGAGAGAGUCUUAGAGAGAGAGAGAGAGAGUCUUAGAAAGGGAGAGAGAGAGGGCAAGGGAAAAGGGAGUUGUAAACUCUCAUCAGAUCAUCUUGCAGCUUCAACAACUCACAACCAACAAAAGGAUUUGGAGGAGAUCAUAGAGCUGCUGCUUAUUCACCUGCAUGCAUAUCCUACACCAAAUAGAUUUACAGCAAAAGCUUGAGUGGAGGCUUCUGGUCUUGGUCGCAAAGUUUUGUGCUUUUUGUCUAACAAGCGUUUGACUCCUGAAUCAUGAGAAGAGAAGCUGUUUGAAAAGAUCAGCUAAAUAGGCAUUAAAGCCUAUAUGUUGAAGACCAUUCGGAAACCUACUUGGAACUUCACUUUUUACAUGCUACAACAUUUCAAAA